CACCCACCACCCCUCCCCCAACCCUCAGUUUGUUCUCAACUCAGUAUUUAAGAGUCUCUUCUGUUUGUCUCCCUCUCUGUUUUUGUCUUUAUUUUUCCCUCCCUUCCCCUAUGUUCAUCUGUUUUGUUCCUUAAAUUCCACGUAUGAGUGAAAUCAUAUUUGUCUUUCCCUGACUAAUUUAUUUUGCUUAGCAUAAUACAUUCUAGAUUUACUAAAUUUAUAUAGAGUGUAAGAACACUUAAAAGGACCUAGAUUCAUCUUGUUUAUAAAUUACAAUUAAUUGGACUUAUGAAAAUUGACUAAAGACCCUGGAAAGGCUUGGUUUAUCUAUCGGACAAUUGAAGUACCUUACAGAGGAAAAAAUAUAUAUUAAAUUUACAAACCCAAUUUCAUUUAUUUAUUUAAUGUUUAUUUAUUUUUAAUUUUUUUUUUUGCUUAUUUAUUUUUUACAGAGAGAGAGAAAGAGUGGGAGAGGGGCAGAGAGAGAGAGACAGAAUCUGAAACAGUUUCCAGACUCUGAGCUGUCAGCACAGAGCCUGACGUGGGGCUCAAAUUGGGGAACGAGAAAGUUUACCACCCCUGGCCGAGAAAAGCCUAAGAUAUUUGCUAUCUGUCCCUUUACAGAAGAAAGUUUACCACCCCUGGCCGAGAAAAGCCUAAGAUAUUUGCUAUCUGUCCCUUUACAGAAGAAAGUUUACCACCCCUGGCCGAGAAGCCAUGAGGGCAAGUAUCAUCUUACAAAGCACCGGCUUCAGAUGAGAAAACCGGGGCUCCCAAAGGUCUGGCAACUCGCCCACAGCAGUGACCGACACGGGCUGAGGUCCUAGGUCUGCACGACCCGGAGUUAGCACACCUAAGCACCCUGCAGCGAAUGCCCGCCCCCACUGGAGACGGCGUGGGCGGGCAGACACUCGCACAUCUCCCCCAGGGUUCAUUGUGGAAUAAUUAAAACACGCACAAAAGCAAAGAGAAAAGGAAAAUCAACCCCCAUGAGCGCAUCACUCAGCUGCGGUCAUGAUUAACUCAACCACUCUCGUUUCGCCCACACACUCCCCGGAUCCCUGGAUUAUUUAGACCGUAUCACUGUGGUGCUCUUCUAAAAGUAUCGAUUCCUAAGCUACUCCCUCUGAAUUUUCUGAUUCAGUAAGUCAGGACUGGGGUCUGAGAAUCUGUAUGUUUUUAUCAGUUCCUUGGGUUUCGGAAGCUAUAGUAUAAAGAAACGAACAUGGGUUCUACAGCAGGCAGGUCCUAGUAUGAGUCCUGGCUUUGCCCAAGCUAUGCAACUUUGGGUGAAAAUUCACAGUUUUCAGACUUUUUGUCUCAAAGAACAACCACCUCUGUCAACCUGUGGUCUACUGAGACCGUCUGAUCCUUUUCACGUUAAAU